rnacentral:rRNA from 2 species
UAGGGAAUCUUCGGCAAUGGGCGAAAGCCUGACCGAGCAACGCCGCGUGAAUGAUGAAGGCCUUCGGGUUGUAAAAUUCUGUUAUAAGGGAAGAACGACUUUAGUAGGAAAUGGCUAGAGUGUGACGGUACCUUAUGAGAAAGCCACGGCUAACUACGUGCCAGCAGCCGCGGUAAUACGUAGGUGGCGAGCGUUAUCCGGAAUUAUUGGGCGUAAAGAGCGCGCAGGUGGUUGAUUAAGUCUGAUGUGAAAGCCCACGGCUUAACCGUGGAGGGUCAUUGGAAACUGGUCGACUUGAGUGCAGAAGAGGGAAGUGGAAUUCCAUGUGUAGCGGUGAAAUGCGUAGAGAUAUGGAGGAACACCAGUGGCGAAGGCGGCUUCCUGGUCUGUAACUGACACUGAGGCGCGAAAGCGUGGGGAGCAAACAGG